rnacentral:rRNA from 1 species
AUGAAAGAGUACUCAGAUGCGGGGAAGUACCGUGGCCAAAAUGGGUGGACAAAGGAAGGAUGGAAGGCUAUGAAAGACCGAUUAAAUGCGAGACCUCCUGGAGCUAAUUUUACUGUUCAACAGCUGAAAGAUAGGGAGCAAAGGCUGAAGAAGGAACUGAAUGUCGUCAAGUCUAUUGUGGAAAAGAGUGGAUUUGGUUGGGAUCCCAAGAACAAAGUUCCAACGGCUUUAGAUGAAAAAUGGGAGGAGCUAUCAACUGAACAACGCAAGUGGAGGCACAAACCAUUCCCGUACUAUGUUGUUCUAUAUGAAAUUCAUGAAGGUAAAAUGGCAGAAGGCAAGCGUUGCAAAAGGACAACUGAUGGUACUGAAGAGAGGUACAAGAAUAUGUCCCAUCUUCCUGAACAUGGAACCUAUACUGAUAAUGUUAUGAGGGCUUCUAGUAUGGAUACUCCUGAGGCAACACUAUCUGCUCCGGGAUCAGCAAUCCCAGAAUAUGACUGGGGUGGAAAUAUAUAUGGUGAUGAUGUUGAUUUAUCAUAUGGUGGAUAUUCAGAACCUCUAGGGAGUAAUGAAAAUCAUGUUUCAGCAGUAGAAGAUUUAACAAGUGUGGAUUCACCUCGAAGGAAGAGGCUUCGGAAUUCAAAAGGAUCUGAUGAUGGAAGUGACAAAACUAAGGGAAAAAGAGGCAAGGACAUUGUGUUGGCCAACUUGGUUUCUGUGAGGGAAGAAGAAAUGCAGACUUGUAAGGAAAUGAAGACAAAGCAAAUUGACAGCUACAAGGAAAUCAAGAUGGCCCAAAUGGAAAGGAAUGACCCCAAAAAUGAUCCUUAUGGCAUGCCAAACUAUAUUGAGAAACUUAGAACAUUGGGACUCACUCCAAGUGACCAGCACAAGAUGAUUAACCAUCUGAAAGAACAUAUGCUAAACCGUCAAACAUUCAUGGAAGUAGACGAUGAUGUUCUUUCCGUGAUUAUCAAAGAAGUGGUG